UACGUAGGGUGCGAGCGUUAAUCGGAAUUACUGGGCGUAAAGCGUGCGCAGGCGGUGGCUCAAGCCAGGCGUGAAAUCCCCGGGCUUAACCUGGGAAUGGCGUUUGGGACUGGGUCGCUAGAGUGUGGCAGAGGGAGGUGGAAUUCCACGUGUAGCAGUGAAAUGCGUAGAGAUGUGGAGGAGCACCGAUGGCGAAGGCAGCCUCCUGGGCCAGCACUGACGCUCAUGCACGAAAGCGUGGGGAGCAAACAGG
rnacentral:rRNA from 1 species